AGCCUGGGAGCUGCGAGAAGGGAAGGACAGGUCAGCUCUGGGUGCAGAGACCCCUCUGGGGCUGCAGGCACAGAAUGGAGGGGGAACCAGAAGCCAGGAGGCCCGGGAGGAGGCUGGGAGGGGCGAGGCAGGGCUUGAGCUAGGCCCCUGAGGGCGACAGAGAGGAGGGUCUGAGGCUGGUGGGCCCUGGGAGGUGAGGAGGCAGGAAUGAGUGGAAGGUGUCCAGGGGCCUGGAUGAACCUGGGGAUCCCCGUUAGGCACCUGCAGAAGUGGGGGACUCAGGCACAGGGAGGCAAGGGGUCCCUGGCUUGGGGUGUGUCCCCUCCUGGAGCCACAGGCCCAUGCGCCCAGGCAGGCAGUUCAUCCAGGCAGCCCACAAGCUGCCCAUGCACCCCUGGCAAGGUGGAGCUGAUGCCCCGCAGGACACACUCAUGAAAGCCCUGGCUGCGCAUGGACCAGGGUGUGGCAGGUUCUGGUUUGCAAGUUUUCCCAAGGUCAAAGGGCAGGUCGUAAAGUUAAAAGCCAGACAGCACCGGAGGGGAAACUGCUGGGGGUUGCAGACUCCCGAACGGCUCUGGCCCCAUCCCAUCCAGAUCCCUGCACCUCCUGCCCGCCCACCGGGCUCCCCACGCCUCUGCUGGUGUGGGUCUCGCUCUCUGCCCCAUCUGGGUGUCUGGCCCCGGGCCCCUGGCUAACCCCCUCUGUCUCUGUGUCUCCCUCUCUCGCUUCGCCUGUCUCAGCCUCCCUUCUCUAUCUCUCUUGCUGGGCAUUUCUCUCCACCCCUCUCUGUCUCUUUGACCCUGUCUCUCUGUCUCUCCCACGGUCUCUCUCAGUCUCUCCUCAGCUCGCUGUCUCUCCCCUCUGUCUGUGUCUCUCCCCUUCUCUCAGUGCCCCUGGGCCCCUCCCUGCCACCCUGUGCCUGUCGCCUGUCCCAUCGCAGGUCCCAGACAGACUGGCGGGGGCCUGAGUGUUGCUAUUCUUGGGCCUGAGUGGCAGGCGGGGCUGUGGCCCCCAGGUGCGUCCUGGGCUAUGGCCAAAUAAGGUCCGGAGUGAGGAGCCCCGGGAGGAGGAGCUGGGGGCGCUGGGGGUGGGGGGAGAGGGGCCAGCUGACCUCCUCCUGCUCCCACUCCCUCCUGCCCCAACCCCCAUAUUCUGGCAGGUGAGAGCGGGCAGGACAGACCAGGUCAUUGCAUCAACUAAGCACUUACUGUCUGCCCCUCACAGUGCAGAGCGCCUGUGCCCCCACCCGCUGGGACUGCUCUUCCCAGGGGAGCGCCUCAGGACUCAGAGGGCUACCGCUUGCCCCAGGGCACCCGGCCAGGCCUGUCCCAGAGCUGAGGGGGCUGGGGCGCCCCGCACAGAUGCCAGUGGCCUCUCCACACCCCCAGGCUGCAGAAAGGGAGAGGGAGGGGCUGUGGUCAAGAGGCAGGCGCAGGGCAGGUGCGGGGGGAGGGGGACAGCUGUCCCACACCCCCUGGUGGUGACAGCUGCUGCCCGAUUUAGCUCACAGAGCCGGGUCUGGCCAGAUAAGGCAGUUGGGUGGGGGGGCGGUCUCACCCCCAGGGCACCCCUUAAAUCGCACAGUCGGGCCCAGGGUUCAGCUGCCACCGACGCCAGGUGAGAGGGGCUGUUCUUUCCUCGACCUCCUGCCGCAAGGCUCCGCGCGUCUUCUCUCGCUGUCUCCCUCCGUCUCUCUCUCCCUCUCUCUCUCCGUCUCCCUCUCUCCCUGUCUCUCUCUCCCUCUGUCUCCCUCUCUCCCUCUGUCUCUCUCUCUCCCUGUCUCUCUCUCCGUCUCUCUCUCUCCCUCUGUCUCUCUCUCCGUCUCCCUCUGUCUCUCUCUCUCCAUCUCUCUCUCUCUUUCUCCCUCUCUCCCUCUGUCUCUCUCUCCGUCUCUGUCUCCCUCUCUCUCUCUCUGUCUCUCUCUCCCUCUGUCUCCCUCUCCCUCUGUCACCCUCUCUCCCUCUGUCUCUCUCUCUCCCUGUCUCUCCCUCUGUCUCUCUCUCUCCAUCUCUCUCUCUCCGUCUCUCUCUCCGUCUCCCUCUGUCUCUCUCUCUCCGUCUCUCUCUCUCCCUCUCUCCGUCUCUCUCUCUCCGUCUCUCUCUCUCCCUCUCUCCCUCUGUCUCUCUCCGUCUCUCUCUCCCUCUCUCUCUCUCUCCUUCUCUCUCCCUCUCUCUGUCUCUCUCUCCCUCUGUCUCUCUCUCCGUCUCUCUCUCUCCGUCUCUCUCUCUCCCUCUGUCUCUCUCUCCCUGUGUCUCUCUCUCCCUGUCUCCCUCUGUCUCUCUCUCCCUGUCUCUCUCUCCCUGUCUCUCUCUCUCCGUCUCUCUCUCCCUCUCUUUCUCCGUCUCUCCCUCUGUCUCUCUCUCCCUCUCUCUCUCUCUCCCUCUGUCUCUCUCUCUGUCUCCCUCUGUCUCUCUCUCUCCGUCUCUCUCUCCCUCUCUUUCUCCCUCUCUCCCUCUGUCUCUCUCUCCGUCUCUGUCUCCCUCUCUCUCUCUGUCUCUCUCUCCCUGUCUCUCUCUCCCUCUGUCUCUCUCUCUCCCUCUGUCUCUCUCUCUCCCUGUCUCUCCCUCUGUCUCCCUCUCUCCCUCUGUCUCUCUCUUCCUGUCUCUCUCUCUCCCUCUGUCUCUCUCUCUCCCUGUCUCUCCCUCUGUCUCCCUCUCUCCCUCUGUCUCUCUCUCUCCGUCUCUCUCUCUCCCUGUCUCUCUCUCCGUCUCCCUCUGUCUCUCUCUCCGUCUCUCUCUCCCUCUCUCCGUCUCUCUCUCUCCGUCUCCCUCUGUCUCUCUCUCCGUCUCUCUCUCUCCCUCUCUCCGUCUCUCUCUCUCCGUCUCUCUCUCUCCCUCUCUCCCUCUGUCUCUCUCCGUCUCUCUCUCUCCCUCUCUCUCUUUCUCCCUCUCUCCCUCUGUCUCUCUCUGUCUCUGUCUCCCUCUCUCUCUCUCUCUCCUUCUCUCUCCCUCUCUCUGUCUCUCUCUCCCUCUGUCUCUCUCUCCGUCUCUCCCUCUCCGUCUCUCUCUCUCCCUCUCUCUCUCUCUCCCUGUGUCUCUCUCUCCCUGUCUCCCUCUGUCUCUCUCUCCCUGUCUCUCUCUCUCCGUCUCUCUCUCCCUCUCUUUCUCCGUCUCUCCCUCUGUCUCUCUCUCCCUCUCUCUCUCUCUCCCUCUUUCUCUCUCCCUCUCCCUCUCUCCCUCUGUCUCUCUCUCCCACUCUCUCUCUCCCUCUUUCUCUCUCCCUCUGUCUCUCUCUCUCCGUCUCCCUCUCUCCGUCUCUCUCUCUCCCCCUCUUUCCCGCUGUCUCCCUCUCUCCUCUCUCUCUCCGUCUCUCUCUCCUUCUCUUUCUCCCUGUCUCUGUCUCUCUCCCCAUCUGUCUUUCUCUGUGUCCCUCUCCCCAGUUCUCUUUAUCUCCUCUCCUGCCUCAUCUCCCUCUCCUCACUGUCUCUGUCUCUCAUUCUCCCUAUCGUUCUCUCCAUCUCUCUCUCCUCCUUCUCGUCUGUUUCUCUCUGUCUCUCCAUCUGUCUCAUCUGUCUCUUCCUCCCACCUCUUUUCUGUGUCUCUGUCUCCUCCCCCCAACUUUCUCUCAGUCUCCCUCAGCACCCCCUGUUUCUCUUUCUUACUCUCCCUUUUCUCCCCAUCUCUCUGUCUCUCCCUGGCUUUGUAUCUCUGUGUCUCUUUCUCUCUGUCUUCUUCUAUCUCUGUCUCUCCCCAUCUUCUGUCUCUGCCUCUCCUCCACUUCUUUCUCUGCCUCUCCCCCACUUCUCUGUCUCUCCCCCACUUCUAUCUCUGACUCUCCCCCACUUCUCUGUCUCUCUCUCCCCCACUUCUCUCUGUCUCUGUUUCUCCCCCACUUCUAUCUCUGUCUCUCCCCCAUUUCUCUCUCUGUCUCUCCCCACUUCUCUCUGUCUCUCCCCAUUUCUAUCUGUCUCUCCCCCUUCUGUCUCUCCCCCAUUUCUAUCUCUCUCUCCCCCACUUCUCUGUCUCUGUCUCCCCCACUAUCUCUGUCUCUCCCCCACUUCUCUCUGUCUCUCCCCCACUUCUCUGUCUCUGUCUCCCCCACUUCUAUCUCUGUCUCUCCAUUUCUCUCUGUCUCUGUCUCUCCCCCACUUCUCUCUGUCUCUCCUCCACUUCCUCUAUCUCUGUCUCUCCCCCAUUUCUCUGUCUCUGUCUCUCCCCCACUUCUCUCUGUCUCUCCCCCACUUCUAUCUCUGUCUCUCCUCUACUUCUCUCUGUCUCUGCCUCUCCCCCACUUCUAUCUCUGUCUCUUCCCCAUUUCUAUCUCUGACUGUCCCCCACUUCUCUCUGCCUCUCUCCCACCAUUUCUCUCUGUCUCUGUCUCUACCCCCAUUUCUGUCUCUGUCUCUCCCCCCAUUUCUCUCCAUCUCUGUCUGUCUCUCCUGUCUCUGACUCCUCCUCUCUCCCCAGCUCCCUGGACGAAGCCCUCCGGGGCCUCUGCGGUCCCUGCUGAAUAAAGCUGUUUCUGUCCUCACCUCUCUCCCUUCUGCGCCUCCUUCUUUCCUUCCUCACUCCUCUGCCUCUCAGCUCGGCCCCCCAGCCCUGAUCCUGGGUAUAGGGGGUGGGAAUUCUGGAGCUGGGGGUGGGGGCUCCUCCCUCCCAGAGACAGAGAUGGAUGCAGAGAGAGAACCAGAGACAGGCACGGAAAGAGACAGAGAGAGACAGAGCGAGACAGAGACAAGAUGGGGGCCGUAAGCUCAGAAAUGAGAGAGACAGCAGGUCACAGAGACACAGCACGUGAGAGACAGGGAGACACAGAGAGACUCAGAGACAGACAGACCAGACAGCGCCCCCACUCCAAUACACACAAACAGACACAGGGGACAAGAGCCGGUCAGGGCUGGACAGCCUCCCCUCCCCCUCCAGGCCAGGCCAGGCCAGGCGGUGCCAGGCCCAGGACAAUGGGCCCUUGUCAGGGCUCCGGAGGAGCCAGCCAGCUGGGGAGGCCUGUGGGCUGGGCCACGGAGGAGGGUCGGCCACAGCGGCUGCUGGGUUGGGGAAGGUGCACCUCCUGCGGGCCUGGCCCACGGCCUCCACCCUCAGACUCUCCUUCUCCCCUGGCCUCCCUUCCUGGGGUCUCCACCUACUCCCAGCCUGCUUUCUCUGCUCUGCCUGGGGAAGGGGACAGGCAUUUAUGGAGUACCUGCUGUAUGCACCCAAAAUGCCUCCUCGCCUCUCCUCACACACUCCGUCUCCCGCCACGGGUGUGCCGUCCUCGGGUGUGCCCGCCUCGGGUGUGCCCGCCUCGGGUGUGCCGUCCUCGGCGCCCUCUACUUGUUCCUCCUGUGCCUCUGGCUCCUUCCAUGGAAGAAACGGGCAAUUAUUAAGCACCUGAUGCUUGGCAGGCAAUUCCCCUAACCGCGUCUGCACUUUCCAUCCUUCUUGCUUUCCUGUCCCUUCUGCCCCAGUUCCUUUCUCUUUCUGAUUUGCUUGGUCUCUCCUGGGAAGGAAACGGGCAUCUACUGAGCAUCUGCUAUGCGCCGAGGAGUUGAGGAACAUGGCUCCUCUCUCGCUACCUUCUUUCCUCCCCCCACCCCCAUUCCUUUCUUUCUUUUUUUCUUUCUAGGACAGGGUCUCACUCCGUCGCUCAGGUUGGAGCGCACACAAUCGCAGCUCACUGCAGCCUCGACUUCCUGGGCUCAAGCAGUCCUCCCACCCCAGCCUCCCAAGUAGCUGGAACUCCACACACCACCAUUCCUGGCUAAUUUUUGUAUUAUUAUUAUUAUUUGAGAUGGAGUUUUGCUCUUGCCGCCCAGGCUGGAGUGCAAUGGCGUGAUCUCAGCUCAUUGCAACCUCCACCUCCUGGGUUCAAGCGAUUCUCCUGCCUCAGCCUCCCGAGUAGCUGGGAUUACAGGCACCCGCCACCACGCCUGGAUAAUUUUUAAGUAUUUUUAGUAGAGACGGGGUUUCACCAUGUUGGUCAGGCUGGUCUUCAACUCCUGACCUCAGGUGAUCCACCCACCUUGGCUCCCAAAGUGCUGGAAUUACAGGAAUGAGCCACCGCACCCAGCCUAAUUUUUGUAUUUUUUGUAGAGACAGGGUCUCUCUACGUUGGCCAGGCUGGUCUCGAACUCUUGGGCUCAAGCGAUCCUCCCACCUCUGCCUCUCAAAGUGCUAGGAUUACAGACAUGAGCCACGGCGCCUGGCCCCUUUCUUUCCUCUCUAUUGGUGUCCUCUCCUUUCUGACUUUCUGCUCUCUCCUGGCAGAGGGAGUGGACACAUUUUGAGCACUUACUGUGUACUAAACACCUUACAUACCUCUCUCCUCACUCUCUUCCUCCCCGGUCCCUCUUCUGUCCUUUCCUUGUGUUUCUGAGCUCUCUGCCCUCUUCCAAGGCAAGGACUACAUUUAUUGAGCACUUCUGGUAUGCAAGCAAUUAUGUCCUUUCUCUCCUCUCCUCUUGCCCUUCAGUCUCCACUGACUCCACCAGUCUCUGCUUCUUUCUGCUCUGUGCCAGGGAAGAAAAUGGGCAUUUAUUGAGUACCUAUUGUGUGCCAGACAGUUUUCUUAUUCUCCCCUAACCCUUCACUUCGCCUUCUUCCCUUAUCUCUAACUUCUUUCUGUCCCAUCGGCUCUUUCUCGGGGACAAAGACAAGCAAUUAUGGGGCACCUACUGUAUGCCAGGCAAUUAACAUCCCUCCUCAUCUCCUACCUCUUUCUCGCUGCCCCUCUUGCUCUGCCAGCUUAUCCCCUUGCUGUUCUCUGGGUCCUUUUCUGGGGAAGGGUACAGGUGUUUAUUGAGUGCCUCCUGUGUGCCCCAUGGUUUACCUGCAAUGCCCCCUCCCUGCGUAUCCUCUCCUCUGCCACACUCCUCUCACUGAUCCCUCCUCCCUCUGCUCCUCCACCCCCACGGAGGCCUCCUGGGCCAACCUUUUCCUCUCAUUCCUGUCUGUGCCUUCAUUUCUGUCUUGUUCUCUUGCUCCUCCAAGGACGACAAUGUGCAUUUAUUGAGUGCCUCCUGUGUGCCCACCACCUCACCAGUGUACUUGUUCUCAUUUCCUCUCUUCUCCCUGCCUCCUUCUCUCCACCAGCUUCUCCCCCUCCUCUCUGCCCUGCCAGCUCUUUCCUGAGGGAGGAAAUAGGCAUGUAUUGAGUGCCUACUGUAUGCUGCCGCUUCAUCUACACUGUCUGCUUGCCUCACAGGCUCUGUUCUCCCUUCUCUCCUUUUCUCCUUCUCUCCGCUUGCUCCCUUCCUCCUGGCUGCUUUCUCUGUGCUUGCUGCCAGGGAGGAGAAUGGGCAUUUAUUAGGCACCCACUGUGUAUUAGUCACUUUACAUAUAUUGUCUCCUUCCCACACAACAGUCUCUUCUAUUCUCUCUGCUGGAGUUUCCUCCUCCUCCUCCUCCUCCUCCUCUCUUCCUCCUCUUCUCCUUCCUCCUCCUCUUCCUCCUUCUCUUCCUCCUCUUCCUCCUCUCCUCACUCCUCCUUUACUUUCUCCUGUCUCUUGGGGAAAAGAAAUAACACUUAACAAACACCUACUGGUCUGCUUCACACUUUCCACCCGUGCCUCUCUCUCUUUUUUUUUUUUUUUUUUUGAGAUGGAGUCUUGCUCUGUCGCCCAGGCUGGAGUGCAGGGGGGCAAUCUGAGCUCACUGCAACCUCUGCCUCCCGGGUUCAAGCGAUUCUCCUGUCUCAGCCUCCUGAGUAGCUGGGAUUACAGGCACCCACCAACAUGCUCGGCUAAUUUUUUGUAUUUUAGUAGAGACGGGGUUUCACCGUGUUGCCCAAGCUGGUCUCGAACUCCUGAGCUCAGGCAAUCCACCUGCCUAGGCCUCCCAAAGUGCUGGGAUUACAGGCGUGAGCCACCGUGCCUGGCUCUAUGUCCCUCUCUUUAGGCUGCCUCUCCUUCUGCUUUUGCUCUGCGGGACUUUCUUCUUCUCCCUUUUCAUGUGGUCCUGAAGGGCCUGGGCAGUUAUUGAGCACCGACUGUGUGCCAGGCUUUUUAUAGAUACAGCCUCCCCUUCUCACCCUCGAUUCCCCCUUUCUCUUCCUCUCUCUGCCUUCCUACUCUCUGUGCUCUCCCCUAGGAAAGGGGAAGGGCACCAAUUGAGCGCCAACUGUGUACCAAGGCGACUCUCUUUAGCCCCUUCCUUUCCCCUCAGCCGCCACAGCCCUAGAAGGGGUGGCCAGCUACACCGUGCGGGGCUGCAGGAAAGAGGAGGAGGAAGGAGGAUGUGGGCUGCAGCCUGAUUUCUCCCUUGGAAAAAUAUGUGGACGACAAUGGCUACUCCCUCCCAGGUCAGGGUGGGGUGGGGGAGGCUGAAGGAGGCCUGGAGGGACUCUAGGAAGGAACACUCUAGAAUCUGAGCCUGAGAGGCAGCCCGUGCCCAUGGAGGGGACGCUUCUGCUGCCAGUCACCACACUGGAUUCAAGCCUGAGCCUCCUUCCUCCACCUCCCUCUCCCCUCCGCAGGCCUUCCUGCCCUGCAGACACUUGGCGGGUGGUCCCUGGACUCCUCACCACCUGAGGGAGCAGAUGAGGAAACUGAGGCUCGGGCGGGAAAGAGGAUUUGCCCCUCCCCAUUCUCCUUCUACCUCUCCUCUGUGACCCCCUUCCUCUGUCUCUCUCGCCCUCUCCUCUCUCCCAUUCUCUGAAUCUCUCCCCCAACCCCUGCUCCCACUCUGUUCCUGUCUCUGCAUGCCCCCAAAUUCCCUUUUUUUUUUUUUUUUUUUUUUUUUGAGAUGGGGACUCGCUCUGUCGCCCAGGCUGGAGUGCAAUGGAGCGAUCUCAGCUCACCGCAACCUCCUCCUCCCUCUUACUCCACCUCCUCCUCUUUCCUCCUUCCUCAUCUUUCCUUCUCCUUCUUCCUCCUUCCUCUUACUCCCUCCUCCUUCCUCCUCCUUUCCCUCUUUCCUCUUCCUCCUCCCUCCUCCUCCUCACCCCUCCUCCCCCUUUCCUCCUCCUCUCCCUCUUUCCUCUUCUUCCUCCCUCCUCCUCCUUCCUCUUUCCUCCUCCUCUUUCCUCCUCCUCCUCACCCCUCCUCCCCCUUUCCUCCUCCUCCCCCUUCCUCCUCUUUCCUCUUCCUCCUUCUUCCUUCUCCUCCUCCUCUUUCCUCUCCCCCCUCCUCCUCCCCCUAUCCAUAACACACACACACACAGGCUGUCCCUGUCCCUGUGUGUCCUCUCUUCGGCUGGAUCCUCAGUGUUUCCUCCUCUCUAGGUCUUGCACACACUGCUCCUCCCUUGGGCGAUAUUCCAGUCCUCCACACGCUUCCACCCAGCCCCACCUUUUCCUGAUUGUCCACCUUGUGGCUCUCAGCCUUUCUGGAAUCUUCUCCCUUGUCCUCCAGACUGCCACCCCCCACUGUCUUCUGCCCUCUCCUUCCCCUGCGCUAGGUCCUCCUCCUCAUCCCCGCCCUGUCAUUUCCUCAUCGUCUGUACCCAACCCCCAGAGGAGGCGCUGAUGGGGCCCCAGUCUCACUGUGCCCGUCCACAGCAACCGACUGUGUCAGAAGGAGACAAGGGGGCCGGGGACAAGGGGCAGCACUGUGGUUAGGGCCUGUGCCCUUGGUCUCCCUCCCUCCUCUGCCUCCUUUGCCUCCAGUUUCUGUCCCUUGGAUUUGCCUCUCCUCUUUCCUCUCACUCCUGCCUCCCCUUCCUCUCCCUGCACCUUCAGUGAGUUCCACCUGGCUUCCCCUCCACACGCUCCUGGUGGCUUCUCUUUGGCGCUUCUCUCUCUCUCUCUCUCUCUCUCUCUCUCUCUCUCUCUCUCCCUGUCUCUCCCAUCUCUCGCUGUCUCUGUCUCAUUUUCUCAGUCCGUCUCUGUCUCUCUCGCUCUGUCUCUCUCACUCUCUUGCCAUCAUUGUCUCUGUUUCUCUCGCUGUCUCUUUCUUUCUCACUCUCUCGCCAUCAUUUUGUCUGUUUCUCUCACUGUCUCUCUCUGUCUCUCGCUUUCUGUCUCAUUGUCUGUCUCUCUCUGGCUAUCUCUCUUUUACUGUCUCUCUCUCGCUGUCUGUCUCUCACUCUCUCUCUCGGUCUCCCUCUUACUGUCUCUCUCACUGUCUCUCUUGCUGUCUCCCUGUCUCUUUCUCUCACUCUUUCUCGCUAUCUCUGUUUCUCUCAACGUCUCUGUCUCUCUCGCUGUCUCUUUCUCUCUCCAUCUCUCGCCAUCUCUCUCUCCCUCUCUGUCUCUGACACACUCUAUUUCUCCCAUCCUCCCCUCCAUGGGGCUUUCCUGUUUCCUUUCCAUCCUCACCUUCACUCGCUCUUUCCUCUCCGUUUUCUCCCUCACCCCACAAGCUCUCUCCCCUCGCCUCUAGUCCCCCAAGUCCUUCCCAGCUCCGCCUCUCCAUGCCCGCUCCUUCCUUUCCAGUUCCUCUGCCAGUCAUUGUCCUUGACCCUUCCCUCUCCUCGUCUCUGCUCCCACCGGCUCGUCUGAGCCUGGCGCUGACAGCCUUCUCCCCACCCCGCCCAACCCCACCCCCGACUCCCGCCAUCCCCUCGCCUCCUGGUCCCUGUCCCCCUCCCGCGUCCCCGUCUUCUUGAUGACUCCAACAGCUGCAGCUGCAGAGGCCCCGAGGCCCCUCGGAGGAGACUGGGCAGGGAGGGCUCCUCCGCAUGCUGGGAUAUUUUUAUCCUGCCUUGGACGAUCGGGACGAUUGGUCCUGCAAUCUGUUUCACCCUUUAAGAAACUCAUUUCAUGUCCUGCCAGGUCCUGGGACCAUAAGCUCGCGUGUCUCCACAGUUGCACAUUCCCGUCCGUCUGCAGCUCAUUAUCUGGGCCACAAGGACGUUACCCCAUGACUUGGAAGGACGCGCCAUCACGCAGGAGGUCACAAAGUGGACGGCAGGAAAGCCAGCCUUCCCUCUUCUGCCUUCCUCCUCACCUCUCUCUCUCUCUCUCAGUACUUUGUUCUUGUUAAUAUCAGUGUAUCAAUGAGCCUGGUUUUUUGCCUUUUAUUAUUAUUAUUAACAUAGUGAGCACAGGCGUUUCGUACUCUGCGUCUGAUUUUCCAGCAGCGAAGCCUCUGCCAUCCGCCCCACCGUCCCGCUGGCUCUUGCUCAUUGUCUUUCCCUUCCCUGCUUGCCUGCUCCCUCACGCCCCUGCUCUGCGUGUUGGAUGUGAAAAGGAUGUCAGGGACUAGGCGGAGGGCAUGUUCCUCCGAGCCCAGGCUGCACCUUGGCACAGUGGAGGGUCCACCCACCCCAGGUAGCCCAGGUGAGGCCCCUGGGUCCCCCUGUCACUCAGGCUGUCCACAUGAAAGUCCAGAUGUCUCCGACCAACAGAUCCCUGGGAGAAAGGACGUGACGCUGCCGCUUCACCGGGAUGGGUUCCCACGUCCCUCCGCGUUGACCCACAGCUUCCUUACGGUCUUGUAUGUAGUUUGAUGCUUUUAAGGGCCGGCCACGGUGGCUCAACGCCUGUAAUCCCAGCACUUUGGGAGGCCAAGGUGGGCGGAUCAUGAGGUCAGGAAUUCGAGACCAGCCUAGCCAAAAUGGUGAAACCCCGUCUCUACUAAAAAAUACAAAAAUUAGCAGGCACGAUGGCGGGCCCCUGUAAUCCCAGCUACUUGGGAGGCUGAGGCAGGAGAAUCGCUUAAACCCGGGAGGCGGAGUUUGCAGUGAGCCGAGAUCGCGCCACUGCACUCUAGCUUGGGCAACACAGCAAGACUCCGUCUCAAAAAAAAAAUUGUUAAGACUAUUUUAUCCAGGUUCCUACUUGUUUUCAGUUAUGGGGUUGGGGGCGGGGUGGGAGGGCAAUGACCUGACACAGUGUUACCGGAUGAGGAGUCUGGUCUUGCUUUGCUUUCUCUGCCUUUUCUGUCUUGUCAUUGGCUCUCCCGCCCUCCUACACGCACCCCGCCUGUUGCUUCUCUCAUUCUCCAGUUCCCUUCCAAUCCCCCUUCACUUCUCUUUACUCCCCUCCCCCAGGUCAGUGCUCGGCGUUUCCUCCCUCUUUCUGUUCUCCCAUCCUCCCGGGCAGCUGUCUCUGUCCUGUUCUGUCUCCUGUUCUCCCGCCCCUCCAGCUCCUUCCCUUCCUCCUUUCUCCUGGGCCCUUCUCUGCCGCACCUUCCACAGCUGCUCUGUUCCUCCCCAUCCUCGUCUAGUCCCAUUCGUUGUCCUUUCUCUCCCUGGGUCACAGAGAUGGCCCCGGGGUGGCUGCGCCCUGUUGAGGCAGGGAACGUUUCUGCUGCAUGGCCGAGUUCCCAACCUGGACCCGCCGGGUCUGGCAGCCUGUCCCCGCAGUAGCCUGGGCUGUGCCCACGACACCCCCGCCGCCCAGCUACCCGGCCCUCUCCGUGCCUCACACUGGCUCCUAACCUGCUUCACGUUCCUGCUUCCUGCCCCGGUCUCUGGGCUGACGCUGUCUUAGGGGCGCCCCCUCCUCAGCUGGAGGGGCAUGGUCCUCUGUCGCUACUUCCAAUCCUCUCUCCCUUCUUUCUCUCCAUAUUGCUCUUCCACACUCAUGCACCUCUUCUUUCCUUUCUGCUUUUUUUCUCGCUCACUCACCCGCUGGAGUGCAGUAGUGCAGCCUCCACCUCCCAGGCUCCAGUGAUCCUCCUGCCUUAGCCUCUCAAAGUGCUGGGACCACAGGUGCGAGGCACCAUGCCCGGCCUGUUCUUUUCUCUCUGCCCUUUUUUGUAUUUUUUCCUUUCUCCUUUCCUUCUUCCCUAAUGUCUGUCUCUCUCCUUCCCUUCUUAACUUCCCUUCUCUCUCCAGCCCUCUCCUACCCUCCUUUUCUCUUUUCCCCUAUCUCCAGCCCUCUCCUACCCUCCUUCCCUCCCUCUUUCUCUCUCCCCCUCCGCACCGCUCCAUCUCCCUCUCGGUCCAGUCCGCUGUCUGUGCCCCCUCUCUGUUCCGUUUUCUCUCCCACCCUUCUUCCCUCUCCCAUUUCUUCUCUUUUCCCCUCUUCCUGUUCUCUUUUUCUCGCUGUCCUCUCUGUGGCCACCCUCCUUUUUCUCACUUCUGCUCUCCCUGUCCGGCUCUUCUCUCUCCUCUCUCCCUUCUAGCAGAUUCUCUGGCUGUUUCCUCUCCUCUCCCUCUGUGCUCCUCCCUCCUCCUCUCUCCUCCCAGCCACUAUCCUCUCUCUUCACCCUCUUCUCUUUCUGUCUCAUGGUCUCCUCCUAGCUCUUUUCCUUCCCAGUUCCUAGCUCUCUCCUUUCUCUUUCCUCUUCUCUGGCUGGAGCUCCCCGCUCCUCCAUCCCUCCCUCUCCCGGGGCCCCCUCUCCCCCACCCUCUUCUCCCCCAACACCCUCUCCCCCACCCACUUCUCCCUAGGACGCUCCCUCCUUCACCCGUUUCUCUGCUUCCCUCUUCUCCGAGCUCACCAGCCAUGGCACCCACCCUCUCCCUCUCUUCCUUCCUGUCCCUUUUUUCACCCCCUCGUCUUUCUUUCCUCUUCUGUUUUUUCUUCUCUUUCCACUUCUGACCCCCUACACUGUUUCCUUCUUUCUCCCUCUUCCUCUCUCCCCUCCUGCUCUGGCCAUCUUUUCUUUUUUUUUUUUUUUUUUUUUUUGAGACGGAGUCUCGCUCUGUCGCCCAGGCUGGAGUGCAGUGGCGCAAUCUCGGCUCACUGCAAGCUCCGCCUCCAGGGUUCACGCCAUUCUCCUGCCUCAGCCUCCCGAGUAGCUGGGACUACAGGCGCCUGCCACCAUGCCCUGCUAAUUUUUUUUUUGUAUUUUUAGUAGAGACAGGGUUUCACCGUGUUAGCCAGGACGGUCUCGAUCUCCUCACCUCGUGAUCUGCCUGCCUUGGCCUCCCAAAGUGCUGGGAUUACAGGCGUGAGCCACCGUGCCCGGCUCUUUCCUCCUGCUUUUUUCCUACACUCUCUCCUCCCUCCUCUCCUCCCUCUUUCUCCUGUUUGAUUUCCACCUCUUUUCUCUCCUCUCUCCUCUGAAUCUGCCUCUUCCUCUUCUCACCUCCCUCUUCCUUCCCUGUCUCUCCCCCUUGGGUCUCUCUUCCUUCCCUCUCUCUGGUUUCUCUGUCUCUGCCCUGUCCUUUCCUUUCCCUCCUCUCUGGACCUGUCUCCUCUCCUGGCUCUCUCUCCUUCAAGCUCUCACUCCCACUGGCCUCCCUCCCGGGAGCCCCGUCUCCUCCGUCUCCAGGUGGCCCCUGCAUCCCUGCCUGGUGGGCCUUUGCCUCCCUCUCCUGUUCCUGCCUUGCCUGCUCCCAGGUUUCCAGGUCCUGACCAGGAGGCAGGAGUCCAUACCGAGGCCCAAACAGGCUAGCCCUGAGCAGGGCCCCCAAGCCUGAGGCCCAGGAGUGGACAGACCUUUGUGACACCCAUUCUCUCUUCCUUUUCCAUCUGUCCGGAACUCUGGACACUGCCUGGAGGAAUCAGGCCUGCCGUAGGCCCAGGAAGGCGGAAACAAAGACGACGCUCAGAGACAGGAAGCAACUUGCCUAAAGAUACACAGCACAAAUGAGAAAAUUGGUGCCCAAUGUUUCUGAAGACCAGCAACUGCUAAGACAGAGACUUCGAGGGAACCCGACCUUGCCUGAAGGACCAACAGCGCCCCCUGCAGGACACUUCCCUCCAUUGAGAGAAGCCACAGGCGCCGGCCUGAGGCAUUCUGAGUGCGUGGAAUCCUCUAUUACCACCUCCUGGCAAAGAACGGAGCUGCAACCCAGCUAUAUGAGACACCGAGAAUGAUCUCAACAAAAAGGAACAGUGACCAGAAUGCCUGGGGGAGGAACAGGGGAUACUGGGUGGAAGGAGGGGAGAGGGAGAAGUUGUAAUAUUUUGUAAAAAUGAACAUUUUUACUCCUAAUCAAUAUACAAACAUCAUGCUCAGCAAACUUCUUGGUAUGAAACUUCUGAACUUCACACAUUUUCAAGUCAUUCUAUGGGUGGGUGGAUUGGCUCCCAUGGAAAUGCAACUGGGACUGCACAUGGGAAACAAAGGAAAAUGGAAUUUGGUUCACACAAACCUGUUUGGGAGAUUGCAUUUCCAGGAAAUGGGCCAAAUUGAGUUUGUUUCCUUUGUAACAACAUUGUUGUGCCUUGCUGACUGGAAGGUGGGUACAAAUAAAGGAGGAUGGACUGACAGCUGAAGAGGCACCAGUAAUUAGCCCCUAAUCCUUACCAGGGAGUCUCUCUGAUGGGUUAAAGAAGCCUACAGAGGCCAGGGGCGGUGGCUCACACAUGUAAUCCCAGCACUUUAGGAGACUAAGGUGGAUCGCUUGAGGUCAGGAGUUCAAGACCAGCCUGGCCAACAUGGUGAAACCCGGUCUCUACUAAAAAUACAAAAAUUGGCUGGGUGUGGUGGCACACGGUUGUAAUCCCAGCUACUCAGGAGGCUGAGGCAAGAGAAUUGCUUGAACCUGGGAGGUGGAGGUUGCAUUGAGCCAAAAUUGAGCCACUGCACUCCAGCCUGGGUGACAAGUGAAACUCCAUCCCACAAACACACCUGCCCCCCACCCACCAAAAAAAAAGGAGCCUAUAGUUUCCAGUAGACAAUUUGGGGUUAGUAAAGAAUUUUACAAAAUACUAAAUGUAGUCUUGUAUAUUUUAGGAUUGUUUGCCAUGCAACUAUGUACUGGGAGCACCUAAAUGCCCACAUGAAACCCUAGGCUGGGAAGAGGAAGGCUUUCGCAAUGCCACGCAGCCGAUAACAUUUUCUGGUGGCAGGAAAUGGGAGGGAGCAACCCCUCCUGGAGCAUUUACCUUGCCAGGUGCUCUCACAUCUUAGACCAGAAGUCACGAGGCUAGGAUGAGGGUCCAGGAGGCAGAGAAUGAGGAUUGAGUUAGGGUCAGGACAGUGGACACAGAGAGGAGGAGACACAGAAGGAUGGGUUGGGACUCUAUCCUGGGGGAGGUGAGAGGCCACGCGGAGGGCUGUGAGCAGGGGAGUAGUGAGGUCAGCUCUAGUGUCAGGAAGCUCUCCAUUAGGGGGAUGGACUGAGGGGGGGAUGUUGGGGGCUGGGAGGCCAAAGAGGAGGCUGGGCCGAUGGUCCAGGUGGCAGAGGACGAGGCUUGAGCUGGGACCAAGGCCAUGGAGACAGAGGUGACGGGAUGAGGCCAGGAAGAACUUUAGGGGUAGGUAUGGUGGUGCAUAGGAGAACGUGAUUGGGACAGGGCAGUGCUCUGGUCCAUGAGGUUGGGCAGGUGAUGGCACCACUCACUGGAACAAAGAUCCCUGGAGGAGCACCCGAUCCGGGCAGGUGGGAGGCACUGGCUCCUUUAGUGGCCCCUGAGGCACAUCCUGGGGAAGGAGCCCAGGAGGCAGCUGGGGCCAUGAGUCUGGAGAUCAGGGGUGGGAUCUGAGCUGGAGAUGAGUUGGGGAAUCGCUGGUGAAGAGGGGCUGUCUGGAACCUCCAGGGUGAAGGGAUGGGGCAGACACCUGGAGUAGCAAGGGGGAAGCAUGCACCACCAUCACACACACAUCCCUCUCCCCCAGCAAGGUGGGGCCCCACCGGGCCAUGUCUUCCACAGACACAUAUGUGUGCAAAAUGAUGCAGCAGAACAGGGGGACUCCUGCAGUGCUGCUUAGAACUACUCAAAUCCAGCAACACACUCUUACACCAGAGAUGGAAUAAGAUGGCACCUUAUACCAGAGAUGGAAACUGCCCCAGCUAUGUCAAAAGAAGGUGGGGGAAAAGAGCAACACUUGCAAAACUGUUGACAUGUGCAUCUGCUUGUUUCUGUGGAGAGUAUCUGCAGCAUACCAGGGGACAGAAAACUCAGGCUGCCUCCAGGGAGGGGAAGUGGGUGCUGGAGCCCAGAGUGAGCAUACAGUUUCUGGACGUGGAUUCCACUGCAUCUUUUGUCUAUUCUGGAGACAGGGUCUCACUCUGUCACCCAGGCUGGAGUAAAGUGAUUCAAUCACAGCUCAGGAAGCAUCGAACUCUGGGGCUCAAGCGAUCCUCCUGUCUCAGCCUCCCAAACAGCUGGGACUACAAGCAUGAAUCACUAUGCCUGGCCAACCUACUCUAUCUUUUGAGUUUCAUACUUCAUCCCUGGAUAACCCGGUCAAUAAAAUAAAAUAGUGAGUGGGUUCCCCAAGGACCGGCCAGACGGGGAAGAAAAGUUUAAUAAGAACAGAACGCUAGGGGAGCCUGAAGGAGCUCAGGCAUUUCCUGGAAUACCCAACAGAGUAACCCUGCCAGCCUGAAAGCAACCGAGACUUAGAGGGAAAGGACAUAAUCAGGUUUAUAAAGAUCCCAAUGUUUAACCCAGGAAAAAUAAGAUGUUCCCCCAGUGCCGGGGUAGAAGACAUCUGCAGAUCAGACACAGGGACCAGGACUCCAAGUUGGGAACACUUCCCAAAAAGCAUCAGUAGGCCUGGCGCAGUGGCUCAUGCCUGUAAUCCCAGCACUUUGGGAAGCUGAGGCAGGUAGAUCACCUGAGGUCAGGAGUUCAAGACUAGCCUGGCCAACAUGGUGAAACCCUGUCUCUACUAACAAUACAAAAAUUAGCCAGGUGUGUUGGCGGGCGCCUGCAAUCCCCGCUAUUUGGGAGGCUGAUGCAGGAGAAUCGCUUAAACUCAGGAAGCGGAGGUUGCAGUGAGCUGAGAUCGUGCCAUUGUACUCCAGCCUGGAUGACAGAGCGAGACUCUGCCUCAAAAAAAAAAAAAAAAAAAAAAAAAAAGCAUUAGUAAAUAUUUCUGGAAUCCUCUAGGAAAAGAAUGAAGCAGGAUUCACAUGGAAUGAAGACAGAAAAAGCAUAAGCUAUCUCCUGCAGGUGGAGAAAGAAACAGAAGUUAGCAAUGCUAAGACUAUCUUCUUUAUUAAAGUUACCAAAAAUAGGCCAGGCGCGGUGGCUCACGCCUGUAAUCCCAGCACUUUGGGAAGCCGAGGCAGGUGGAUCACUCGAGUCCAGCAGUUCACGACCAGCCUGGGCAAUAUGGUGAAACCCCGUCUCUACAAAAAAUACAAAAACUAGCUGCGCGUGGUGGUGCACGCCUACAAUUCCAGCUACUCAGGAGGCUGAGGUGGGAGAAUCGCUGAGCCUGAGAGGUGGAGGUCGCAGUGAGUCAAGGUACCGCCACUGCACUCCAGCUUGGGUAACAGAGCAAGACCCUGACUCAAAAACAAAAAGAAGUGAUGGGAGGGAAGGCAACCUCCCACGGUGCACCACCUCCUGGUCUUGACAGUCGACUCACAAACCAUCACUUGUUUAUAAACGCGUUUCCGAUCUGCCAUCGUAAUUCCAUUUUAGUCAUGCAUCCCGAGAUCAUUCAAACCACACCCAAGAGAGACUGGACGACAGCACUCACUAGGGUGCUAUUUAUAACCAUACAAUGCAGGAGGCUAGCUGCGUGUCGAUCUGGGGGACAGUUUAAUAAACUGCCACACAACACAGCUGAGCUCCACACAGCCACAUGAGGAUGGGGACAGCCAUUCCUUGGGUUUCUGAAUAACGUAUCAAGUGAGCAGUGAAUUUCAAUCAAGCUUGUACAUCAGGACCGUCUUGCCAAAACAACAGUUGCUUUUGGCUGCUGGAAGCUGUAGCUUUUCAAAACGUUCACACAUUUCAAUGUAUCGUCGAUGUUUUUAAAUAGACUUACAGGGAGGGUGGCACACAGCAAAGGCCCGCAGGCCCUCGUAGCACCGCAGUCCAGGUAGGAUGCUGGGCGGCGGGGGGUGGUGGAGGGGGUUCUAUUUACAGUGUCUGGGCUUUGACUCCACUAACUGUUGGUUUUGUUUUCUUUCUUAAACCUUUUCCUUCAAGUCUGGAAGCCUGUGGAGGGCCUGUCACCUUAAAGGCAAGGAUUCCUUGUUUGCACCAGGCAGACAAAUGUCAAACCACGACCCCAGGGGCUGCACUAGGCGUCGGGCCCAGAAGCCCCCGGCCAUCCAGCCCCGACUCUUUCAUGCCUCUGCCCCUGAUGAGGGGACCCAGGGUACCCUCAAGGGGACACAGAAGGGAGGCUGCAUCCUAGUCCAGUGUCAAAGUGAGGGGGGCGCUGCAGGAGCCUGGACAGGACCACCUAGCCCAGCCAGGGACAGGAGGGUGAGACCACCUGGAACAAAGGCACAGAGGCUGGAGAGAAGGCGGCAUGUUCCCAGACUGCAUGGGCUCGGGGUAGGGGGAUGCGAGGUCAGAACUGGCAUAGUGGCCAGGAUCUCGGGCUCUACUCCAUGGGCAGGGGGGAAGCCCCUGGGGCUGCAUGGGGCCAUGGGGGAGGCGGGCGCAGGAGACACCGGCUGCUGUGCCAAAGGCCCCAGUCCAGCUGCUCCUCUGCCAGCAGAAGGCAGAGGACAAGGGGCUGGCCCAGGUGGCCUCGUGGGACGGGGGGAAAGGAGGGACCAGCAAACCCUUCUUGGGAUGGCUGAGGACACAGGGGACUCCAGCAGAAAGGGAGGCCCCUGGGUGUGCAAGACGGGACGCUGACCAGCCUGGGCCCUCACCGGCCACUACCCCCACCACCACCCCCACCCCCACCCCCACCCUGGCCCCCGGUGUCUGGCGCUCCUGACAUCAUGAGGAACAGGACGACGGGAAUGAUGUACAUCCACUGCAGCCGGACGGAAGGAUGGACAGACAGACACAGAAAGAGAGAGAGAGGGGAAGGAGGUGAGUGUGGGCAUCACCCACCCACGGUGGGGACCGGCAUGAGGGGAGGUCGCGUAAGGGGAGGGCGCCCAGGUCCCCUACGUCACUACAGGUCAGGGAGGGCCAGUGGGGCGCAGGGAGGGGCAGGGGUCUCGGUCCUCACUCAGGCCUCCUGUGGCGGUGGCGCGGGCCCUGGCGCAGCAGGACGCAGGGCUGUGAGCAACACGGCCCCCCCCAGGAUGAUGUGCCACUGGGGAGGGAGGGAGCGCAGGUCAGGGCCAGUGGGCUGCCGUGGGGCCUGAGGGCCAGCAGGGAGUGGGAGGGCGCUCGAGUGGGCAGCAGGGCAGGGCCCAGCAGGCAAGGGCUCAGCCUCUGGGCCUCAGUUCCCUGCAGCACAACUGUUGGACUAUCCAGGCGGAGCGGGUGAGGCCCUCAGGCAGGGCACUCAGCACAGCAGGGCUCAGCCAUCCCAGCCUCAGCAUCCUCCUAGCCUGCCUCGGGCCACACAGACCUCUUCGCUGGCCUUGGCCUGCCUGGGCUCCUGUGCCACAACCUAACACCAGUCUCCACACUCAAUGGACCAGAGGCCUGGGUGGAAGCCACCUCCUCCGGCUGUCCCCAGCCUCCCCACCCCACGCCUCAGCCUCUAAGCCCCCGGGACUCAGACCUGCUGCUGGCAGCACAGGCCCCUCCCUCCUCAGCUCCAGGAGGCCUCCCAGGCACCCUGCUGCCCCCAAUGCCCCUCCCUGGGCCACAUCCCUCCCGGACCCACUCCUCUCUCCUUCCUGUACAACCCCCUGAAGAACCUGCUCGCCCCUCCUUUCCAAGCCUCCCUGGUUCCUUUGAAACCUCCACUGUUCCCUUCCUCUCCAGCCUCAUGGCUCCAACCUAGCUCAGGCCGAGACCUCCCCCAGGACCCUGCGCCCUAGAGCUGGCCCGACCUCCCCUGACCACACUUCCAUACCCUCUUCCUGCAAACAAGCCUCAGCCCAGGUACCAGGACACACAGGAGGCCCGGAGGACAAGGAGCAGGCCCGAGCACCAUAGGGGAGUCUGGGUGGGAGCAUGGAGGGCCUGGCCAGGCACCGGGACUGUCAGGAAGGGAAUAGGGGAGGCGGGGGAGCCCCACUCACGUAUUUGGCGAAGAAGGACUUCUGCUCCUGGGGGUUCUUGGCCUUCUGGGCCUGUUCCAUCUCCAGGCGCUCAAUGAAGGCCGCCGUCUCAGGGCUGGGGCAAGGGGAGAGGAGGAGAAGGGUGAGGCCCGGAGUCCAGGGACCUGGAGACCCUGAGGCCGCCAGGAAGGGCCGGGGCAGGUGGCAAGAGCGCCGCGAAGGCAGCAGAGGCUCACCCUGGGGCUGUGGUGGGCGGCUGCAGCUGCACCGAGGUGUUGAACAGCUCCAGGUCCACGUCCUCCACCUCAUGGCCCCGGCAGCCCCCGGGGUGCGUCACCACCGACACGCCCACCACGUUGCCGGCCACAUCCACGUGCAGGGUCAGCUGGUCCGACAGGUGCGACUCCACCAGGGAGCACUGUGGGGGGAGUGGGGUCAGUGGAGGUGGGGAGCCUGCUGCCUGGGCUCCACCCUAACCUCCCCCGGCCCCCACCACAGGACCCCCGGAGCAUUUUUCAAAACCUUCCCAUGGCUCCCUGUUACCCUCAGGCCCAAGUUCA
rnacentral:lncRNA from 1 species